GAUUACAAAAAGUAUAAGGAACUCGGAAAUCUUACCCCACCUGUUUACCAAAAACAUCACCUCUAGCAUUACCAGUAUUAGAGGCACUGCCUGCCCAGUGACAUAUGUUCAACAGCUGCGGUAUCCUGACAGUGCAAAGGUGGCAUAAUCACUUGUUCCCUAAAUAGGGUCUUGUAUGAAUGGCCACACGAGGGUUCAGCUGUCUCUUACUUUCAAUC
rnacentral:ncRNA from 1 species